UUAAAUGUAUAAACUAAGAUAAACUAAAAAAGAAAUAAAAUAAAAAAACUAAAUAAUAAAAAACUGUAGAGUUCCCUAAUUAAUCCCAACCCCUGGCCGUUGGUUUCUUCAAAAAGAGAAUAAAAUGGGGAAUGGAAAAUAUUUAUUGACUGAACCUAGGAAACCUAAUCAUAAAUUUAAUAGUUUUAAAAAUAACUUAUUCUGUAUGGAAUAAAUUAAAAAAAACAUUAAGAAAAAGUAACAGACUCGUUC
rnacentral:lncRNA from 1 species